GAUGAACGCUGGCGGCGUGCCUAAUACAUGCAAGUCGAGCGAACAGACGAGGAGCUUGCUCCUCUGACGUUAGCGGCGGACGGGUGAGUAACACGUGGAUAACCUACCUAUAAGACUGGGAUAACUUCGGGAAACCGGAGAUAAUACCGGAUAAUAUAUUGAACCGCAUGGUUCAAUAGUGAAAGACGGUUUUGCUGUCACUUCUAGAUGGAUCCGCGCCGCUUUAGCUAGUUGGUAAGGUAACGGCUUACCAAGGCAACGAUGCGUAGCCGACCUGAGAGGGUGAUCGGCCACACUGGAACUGAGACACGGUCCAGACUCCUACGGGAGGCAGCAGUAGGGAAUCUUCCGCAAUGGGCGAAAGCCUGACGGAGCAACGCCGCGUGAGUGAUGAAGGUCUUCGGAUCGUAAAACUCUGUUAUUAGGGAAGAACAAAUGUGUAAGUAACUAUGCACGUCUUGACGGUACCUAAUCAGAAAGCCACGGCUAACUACGUG
rnacentral:rRNA from 1 species